rnacentral:rRNA from 1 species
AGAGUUUGAUCAUGGCUCAGAGCGAACGCUGGCGGCAGGCUUAACACAUGCAAGUCGAGCGGGCGUAGCAAUACGUCAGCGGCAGACGGGUGAGUAACGCGUGGGAACGUACCUUUUGGUUCGGAACAACCCAGGGAAACUUGGACUAAUACCGAAUAAGCCCUUACGGGGAAAGAUUUAUCGCCGAAAGAUCGGCCCGCGUCUGAUUAGCUAGUUGGUGAGGUAACGGCUCACCAAGGCGACGAUCAGUAGCUGGUCUGAGAGGAUGAUCAGCCACAUUGGGACUGAGACACGGCCCAAACUCCUACGGGAGGCAGCAGUGGGGAAUAUUGGACAAUGGGCGCAAGCCUGAUCCAGCCAUGCCGCGUGAGUGAUGAAGGCCCUAGGGUUGUAAAGCUCUUUUGUGCGGGAAGAUAAUGACGGUACCGCAAGAAUAAGCCCCGGCUAACUUCGUGCCAGCAGCCGCGGUAAUACGAAGGGGGCUAGCGUUGCUCGGAAUCACUGGGCGUAAAGGGUGCGUAGGCGGGUCUUUAAGUCAGGGGUGAAAUCCUGGAGCUCAACUCCAGAACUGCCUUUGAUACUGAAGAUCUUGAGUUCGGGAGAGGUGAGUGGAACUGCGAGUGUAGAGGUGAAAUUCGUAGAUAUUCGCAAGAACACCAGUGGCGAAGGCGGCUCACUGGACCACAACUGACGCUGAGGCACGAAAGCUAGGGGAGCAAACAGGAUUAGAUACCCCGGUAGUCC